UACGUAGGGUGCGAGCGUUAAUCGGAAUUACUGGGCGUAAAGCGUGCGCAGGCGGUUUUGUAAGCCAGAUGUGAAAUCCCCGGGCUUAACCUGGGAAUGGCAUUUGGGACUGCAAGGCUUGAGUGCGGCAGAGGAGACUGGAAUUCCUGGUGUAGCAGUGAAAUGCGUAGUAUAUCAGGAGGAACACCGAUGGCGAAGGCAGGUCUCCUGGGCUGACACUGACGCUUCAUGCACGAAAAGCGUGGGGGAGCAAAACAGG
rnacentral:rRNA from 1 species